rnacentral:rRNA from 1 species
UACAUGGGGUGCAAACGUUGCUCGGAAUCAUUGGGCGUAAAGCGCGCGUAGGCGGUUACUUAAGUUGGAUGUGAAAGCCCUCGGCUUAACCGAGGAAGUGCAUCCAAAACUGAGUAGCUAGAGUACGAAAGAGGGUCGCGGAAUUCCCGGUGUAGAGGUGAAAUUCGUAGAGAUCCGGAGGAACACCAGUGGCGAAGGCGACACGCUGGGCCGUACCUGACACUGAUGCGCGACAGCAUGGGGAGCAAACAGG